rnacentral:rRNA from 1 species
UAGGGAAUCUUCGGCAAUGGACGAAAGUCUGACCGAGCAACGCCGCGUGAGUGAAGAAGGUUUUCGGAUCGUAAAACUCUGUUGUUAGAGAAGAACAAGGACGUUAGUAACUGAACGUCCCCUGACGGUAUCUAACCAGAAAGCCACAGCUAACUACGUUCCAGCAGCCGCGGUAAUACGUAGGUGGCAAGCGUUGUCCGGAUUUAUUGGGCGUAAAGCGAGCGCAGGCGGUUUCUUAAGUCUGAUGUGAAAGCCCCCGGCUCAACCGGGGAGGGUCAUUGGAAACUGGGAGACUUGAGUGGAGAAGAGGAGAGUGGAAUUCCAUGUGUAGCGGUGAAAUGCGUAGAUAUAUGGAGGAACACCAGUGGCGAAGGCGGCUCUCUGGUCUGUAACUGACGCUGAGGCUCGAAAGCGUGGGGAGCAAACAGG